rnacentral:rRNA from 1 species
CCUACGGGUGGCAGCAGUGGGGAAUAUUGGACAAUGGGGGGAACCCUGAUCCAGCCAUGCCGCGUGUGUGAAGAAGGCCCUCGGGUUGUAAAGCACUUUCAGUGAGGAAGAACGCCUGGUGGUUAAUACCCAUCAGGAAAGACAUCACUCACAGAAGAAGCACCGGCUAACUCCGUGCCAGCAGCCGCGGUAAUACGGAGGGUGCGAGCGUUAAUCGGAAUUACUGGGCGUAAAGCGCGCGUAGGUGGCUCGAUAAGCCGGUUGUGAAAGCCCCGGGCUCAACCUGGGAACGGCAUCCGGAACUGUCAAGCUAGAGUGCAGGAGAGGAAGGUAGAAUUCCCGGUGUAGCGGUGAAAUGCGUAGAGAUCGGGAGGAAUACCAGUGGCGAAGGCGGCCUUCUGGACUGACACUGACACUGAGGUGCGAAAGCGUGGGUAGCAAACAGGAUUAGAUACCCCAGUAGUC